UACAGAGGUGGCAAGCGUUGUUCGGAAUUACUGGGCGUAAAGGGCGCGUAGGCGGUCCUUUAAGUCCUGCGUGAAAUCCCCCGGCUCAACUGGGGAACUGCGCGGGAUACUGAGGGGCUCGAGUUCGGGAGAGGGAAGCGGAAUUCCGGGUGUAGCGGUGAAAUGCGUAGAUAUCAGGAGGAACACCGGUGGCGAAGGCGGGUCUCUGGGCCGUAACUGACGCUGAGGAGCGAAAGCAUGGGGAGCGAACAGG
rnacentral:rRNA from 1 species